rnacentral:tRNA from 1 species
GGUGGCUCAGUGGUAGAGCACUUGCCUUCCAUGCAUGAAGCCCUGGGUUUGAUUCCUCAGCACCA